rnacentral:rRNA from 1 species
AUUGAACGCUGGCGGCAGGCCUAACACAUGCAAGUCGAGCGGAUGAUGGGAGCUUGCUCCUGGAUUCAGCGGCGGACGGGUGAGUAAUGCCUAGGAAUCUGCCUGGUAGUGGGGGACAACGUUUCGAAAGGAACGCUAAUACCGCAUACGUCCUACGGGAGAAAGCAGGGGACCUUCGGGCCUUGCGCUAUCAGAUGAGCCUAGGUCGGAUUAGCUUGUUGGUGAGGUAAUGGCUCACCAAGGCGACGAUCCGUAACUGGUCUGAGAGGAUGAUCAGUCACACUGGAACUGAGACACGGUCCAGACUCCUACGGGAGGCAGCAGUGGGGAAUAUUGGACAAUGGGCGAAAGCCUGAUCCAGCCAUGCCGCGUGUGUGAAGAAGGUCUUCGGAUUGUAAAGCACUUUAAGUUGGGAGGGAGGGUUGUAGAUUAAUACUCUGCAAUUUUGACGUUACCGACAGAAUAAGCACCGGCUAACUACGUGCCAGCCGCCGCAGUAAAAC